AUUGACCGCUGGCGGCAUGCCUAACACAUGCAAGUCGAGCGAGCGGCGGACGGGUGAGUAAUGUCUGGGAAACUGCCUGAUGGAGGUGGAUAACUACUGGAAACGGUAGCUAAUACCGCAUACCAUCAGAUGUGCCCAGAUGGGAUUAGCUAGUAGGUGGGGUAAUGGCUCACCUAGGCGACGAUCCCUAGCUGGUCUGAGAGGAUGACCAGCCACACUGGGACUGAGACACGGUCCAGACUCCUACGGGAGGCAGCAGUGGGGAAUUUUGCACAAUGGGCGCAAGCCUGAUGCAGCCAUGCCGCGUGUGUGAAGAAGGCCUUCGGGUUGUAAAGCACUUUCAGCGGGAAGGCGUUACCCGCAGAAGAAGCACCGGCUAACUCCGUGCCAGCAGCCGCGGUAAUUC
rnacentral:rRNA from 1 species